GACGAACGCUGGCGGUGUGCUUAACACAUGCAAGUCGAACGGUAAGGCCCUUUCGGGGGUACACGAGUGGCGAACGGGUGCGUAACACGUGAGUAACCUGCCCUCAUCUCUGGGAUAACAGUCGGAAACGGUUGCUAAUACUGGAUAUGAGCUUGCAAGGCAUCUUGUGGGUUGGAAAGAUUUUUUUUGGUUGGGGAUGGACUCGCGGCCUAUCAGCUUGUUGGUGAGGUAGUGGCUCACCAAGGCUUCGACGGGUAGCCGGCCUGAGAGGGCGACCGGCCACAUUGGGACUGAGAUACGGCCCAAACUCCUACGGGAGGCAGCAGGGGGGAAUAUUGCACAAUGGACGGAAGUCUGAUGCGGCAACGCCGCGUGCGGGAUGACGGCCUUCGGGUUGUAAACCGCUUUCAAUUGUGACGAAGCUUUUUUGUGACGGUAGCAGUAGAAGAAGCACCGGCUAACUACGUG
rnacentral:rRNA from 1 species